rnacentral:rRNA from 1 species
UCGCUGGUGGUUGGGCUGGAUUCGGGGUGUGCUUGGCUGCACCGGGGGCUGCACCGUUCUGACGGUGGUCCCCUUGCUGGCUGCACCGUCCCCCAGCCUGACCCCAGUGAGAAAUUGGCAGCAGAGCUUGGCACCCCUCCUUGCAGUGCUGCUCUCUGCCCGUCUCGAAACACGGACCAAGGAGUCUAAGGAGCUUGCCAGUCGGAUGGCUGAUCCAAAACCUCUUCUGAGGCGUGGUGAAGGCAACUAUCCUUCCAGAUGGGGCUAGUCUCUGCAUGGAACGACCGGACCCGAAGUCCAGUGGACAGGGUUUCGAGUGCUUGCAAGGUCCUUGGGACCCGAAAGGUGGUGAACUAUACCGUUCUACGGUGAAGCCAUGGGAAACUGUGGUGGAAGCCGGUCGCUGUUCUGACGUGCAAAUUGUGUAGCCUGAGUGCGGCAUAGGGGUGAAAGGCCAAUCGAGCCACCUAGUAGCUGGUUCCCUUCGAAGUUUCCCUCAGGAUAGCUGGGAUCCAAUGAUGCAAAGCUUGUAUGUGACUGGUUGCAUCCGGUAAAGCAACGCAUGAGAGGCCAACCCUGGGGAGCCCAGCUCCUCAACCUAUCCUCGAACUGUGAAUGGGUGCGGACAACCCAGGCAUGCUUCUUUGCCACGACAGGAGGCUGUGUAACAGCAGUUCUCCCCGUCUUCUGAGCAUGUU